GAUGUACGCUGGCGGCGUGCCUAAUACAUGCAAGUCGAGCGAACAGAUGAGGAGCUUGCUCCUCUGACGUUAGCGGCGGACGGGUGAGUAACACGUGGAUAGCCUACCUAUAAGACUGGGAUAACUUCGGGAAACCGGAGCUAAUACCGGAUAAUAUAUUGAACCGCAUGGUUCAAUAGUGAAAGACGGUUUUGCUGUCACUUAUAGAUGGAUCCGCGCCGCAUUAGCUAGUUGGUAAGGUAACGGCUUACCAAGGCAACGAUGCGUAGCCGACCUGAGAGGGUGAUCGGCCACACUGGAACUGAGACACGGUCCAGACUCCUACGGGAGGCAGCAGUAGGGAAUCUUCCGCAAUGGGCGAAAGCCUGACGGAGCAACGCCGCGUGAGUGAUGAAGGUCUUCGGAUCGUAAAACUCUGUUAUUAGGGAAGAACAAAUGUGUAAGUAACUAUGCACGUCUUGACGGUACCUAAUCAGAAAGCCACGGCUAACUACGUG
rnacentral:rRNA from 1 species